ACAACACAUAUGGCUCCUGCCGUGUUGCCGUACGUGCGACACGCAGGUCACGAAUGAGUUACACACAUGCAUCACAUACACAAGGGGGCCAUACUGAUCACAAGAUACAUACAUACAUCCUGCAAAACAGAGUUAGGCGCCCUAACGUUCCAAACUUCGGAUGCCCGAAACUCCAUCUUCCAAGCCGAAUUUGGGAAAUCUAAUUUCUCCAAAAACGGCAAAGCGGUUGAAUUUCAUGUGUAACUUUUUCUGUAGAUCAAUUUUCAUAUAAAAUUCGCCCCGAUCCGAGAUCGUACCGAAAAGUUACGGCUGAUUUACCGAAGCAUACGCAUACGGCAAAAAUCCCGACCCCGGCAGUAGAUCUCAUCUACUAUUGCACAUCUAAUGUGCCUGGCGUAUGACCCUAGAUUUCGAUUCGACCAAUCAUAUUGAUCUUCGCUCACUGCAACUGGAUUUACGUGUAUCACUUAACUCUGAUGGUGGAAACCAACCGGUAGGAGUAUGUCGUUACACUACCAUUGCAGCAAGGGCACGAAACUAGGACAUAGAUCAAACGGAAAACUCGCUUAUCUCCAUAUGCACACAUCCCG
rnacentral:lncRNA from 1 species